UAUUUCGUCAUUCAAUCAAAGACAACAAAUAGGAAAACAAUAAAAUUAAUAAACAGCAUCGACAAGUACGUUUUUAGUUCGCUUCAUUUCAUAUAUUUGUGUCUCGUUUUAUCUAACAAAAACAGAAAUUUUAAUUGUAUAUUUUAUUUAGAUGGUGUCAGAUUCCUCCUGCAUGGCCAUGUGCAAAUAAAAUUGGCAGCUCUUCACAUGGUCAAAACACAACUAUAUUCUUAUUAAAACUGUCACAUUGUCAUUGUAAAAUUUACCUUGUAAAUUCGACUUUCACUAACAAAAACUAUUGAGAAAGUUCUUUAACCACAACAGUUGCUCCUUCUCCUUACCUUACAAUAAGUCUAUUUCUCUUCGUUUUGAAUAGUUUGAAAG